rnacentral:rRNA from 1 species
GAUGAACGCUGGCUGCGUGCCUAAUACAUGCAAGUCGAGCGAACAGACGAGGAGCUUGCUCUUCUGACGUUAGCGGCGGACGGGUGAGUAACACGUGGAUAACCUACCUAUAAGACUCUGAUAACUUCGGGAACCCGGAUCGGAUUCAUAACAAUAUAUUUAGCCUGCGGGCUCAAUAGGAAAAGACAGGUUUUCUGUCACUUGUAGAUGGAUCCGCGCCGCAUUAGAUAGUUGGUAAGGUAACGGCUUACCAAGGCAACGAGGCGUAGCCGACCGGAGGGGGUGAUCGGCCACACUGGAACUGAAACACGGUCCAGACUAAUACGGGAGGCAGCAGUAGGGUAUCUUACGCAAUGGGCGAAAGCGUGACGGAGCAACGCCGAGUGAGUGACGAAGGGCUUCGGAUCGGAAAUCUAUGUUAUUAGGGAAGAACAAAUGUGUAAGUAACGAUGCACGUAUUGACGGUACCUAAUCAGAAAGCCACGGCUAACUCCGUG